ensembl:lncRNA
AUAAAAGGGAAGGGACAAAGUUUUAAAGGAUAAAUGCUGGACACUGGCAAGCAAUGGUGUAUGCUCAUGAGGAGAGAAAACUGAAAUGAAUGGAUCUUGGCUUGAAAACUCACACUCCACUUCUGUUGACCAAAACAUGAGAGAUAAAAAAGUACAUUUGUUCCUAAUUCAAGUGGGAUAUUUCCCAGGGAGUUUCAUGGUACCAUCCUUUCAACCGGCAGUCAGAUUUCUGCAAACGUUCUGAUAAUCACUUAAGCUGAGUUACUGCUCUUUUGAUUGGGUCUGCAUUAUAUUUUUCUGGAACUGACCUGCAAUGCAUACUGAAACACCCAAAGAAGUCCUCUCUUGUAAUAAGAGAAAUGAAAACAUUACCAAAGUGUGACAAAGUCUAUGUGGGGUUACUGUUCUGACAUCCUUGUAUGCAAAGACAAGAUCAAAAUCAGUGAGGAGAUGAUGUGGUUUUCAGUGCUGAGACUCUUCUUUCUGAGCAAAACAUGGAACAGAGGAAAUCACAUCAGAGGAAGUGAUGUUUCGGCACUGAACCAAAAUGAGUGUGAUGAGGCUGGUAAUGGUUGUGCUAACCAGGAGUUUCUGCAGGUACAGAGACGCGCUUCCCAGUGUGCUGUUUCCUUGAAGCCUGUACACAGUCAUCAUCUCUAAGCAGAAAUGCACAGAGUCAUCACUUUUUUGUGGAAAUAAAAAUACCAGUGGAAUAGCAAUCCAGCUAGUGGCAGGUAAGCUUGUCUUUUCAGGUGCCCAAUAGCAAGGAUACUCUUGAAUCUGCUUGGCAUAAGCCUCAGCUCUAUCUUGGGAUAUGCGGUGGGUAUGUGAAUACAUGUAGCAAUGUUCAUGCUGGCUGUGAGAGCAGUCCUGGGAACUGGAAGGCUAUCUUAGGACUGCUAAUAUGCACGUAGCUCAUGGAGCUCUUCUUGCAAUGAAAUCCCAAGCAGCAUCAAUAUUGAAAGGCAGUUUUUCCCUGUGUGGAGAAGGAUGAGGCUUAGC